rnacentral:rRNA from 1 species
UACGUAGGGGGCAAGCGUUGUGCGGAUUUAUUGGGCGUAAAGAGCGUGUAGGCGGUUUGGUAGGUCCGUUGGGAAAACUCGAGGCUCAACCUCGAGACGCCGAUGGAAACCAUCAGACUAGAGUCCGGAAGAGGAGAGUGGAAUUCCUGGUGUAGCGGUGAAAUGCGCAGAUAUCAGGAAGAACACCCGUGGCUAAGGCGGCUCUCUAGUACGGUACUGACGCUGAGACGCGAAAGCGUGGGGAGCGAACAGG